CCUGCGGGACACGGGCAGCUAUCGGCCACCCCAGGGCCCAGUGUGCAGGCGGGCUGUUCUGAGGGGACACACACACAUACACACACAGGGUCACCUCAUGUGAAGGCAGAGCAGACUCGCCAAAGAGAUGCACCAAAGCUCUUUAAGUUGCUUUCAAACAGAAAUGGCAGCCAGGACUCUGCAGUUUUAAAGCAUCUGUUUUGUUCCCUGGAAGAAAUGCACACCAAAGUAGACCACAGGAUCAAUGGGAAAGAAUUCCAUUGUCUUGGAUGGGCUUUGCAUCAUGCCCUGCAGUUGCUUUACCUGUGUUUGGCUGGCAGACUGGCAUCCCCCAGAGAGCUCUCAGUGCACGAGGAACUCAAUGCAAUUCCCUCCAGAGAUGUCCAGAGAAACAUCUGUAGCCACACAGCUCCCAGUGCAUUAUUCUGGGACUCUUUGAUCUGCCUUUGUCCUCCUGAACCUCACAUGUAGAAAUGAUGGAGCCUUUUCCACUGUGUUGUAAGAACAGAUGUUUUAAAUUCAGGUUUCAGCAGAGCAGUCAAACAGCCUUUCUAAACCUUAAAGAUGGAACCAAGUUUCCUACCCACACCUCCCCUGUGCAGCUGGAGAGCAGAGUGGGUGUCCCUGGGCCCAGGUGCUGCUCCAUCCUUGCCUGCCAGGACACACACAGACCUCUGGGCUUUUUCUGCAGCCGAGACAAACCGUGGGGUUCUGCUGGCCUGAUCCACCCUGGACAGGUGUGUGCAGGCUGGGAUUGGAGGUGGGAUCCCCAGCUGUGUUUUCCUUUGAGCACUCUUUGCCUCCCAGGUGGUGGCACAGGUACAGCACACGAGCUGCUCUCUGGGUGCUCACAGGUUACCAAUGUGAACGUGAAAUGUUUCUCCAUUUUCACAAUAACAAAACUAGAAAACCCUUUACAGCCCAGAGGGUUUAUUUUCUCUCCUCUUUGUUAUAACCUGAAGCCCCAGCCUAAGCCUCUGGUUCUCCUGCAGCUCCCGAGGCAAUGGCAAUGUGGUGUAACCAUGCAGAGACAUCCUGUCAGCUCCUGCAAAGGCCUGGAGCCACGUGCUGUGACACAGCAGGCUGUCCUACAGAAGUACAAGAAGGGAUGGGAACAGCAGAGGCUUUGGGAUUUUAUCCAAACUGGGAGCACUUAGUGGAUGGAUUGCUGAUUGACGCUACUUAGUUCUGCUGCCAGUAAUAAAUUACAUAGUGUAGCUGCCCUUGAAGCAUAGAUUUACCUUCCUGCGCUUCUUCCCAAUGCCUCUGCAGUCUGUGUGGCUCCAGGGAUUCCACACAACAGGUCUCCCAUUGCUCAGCCUCAGCCCACACCCCUGUCAGGUAAGAACAGUCCCAGCCAGGGCCUGCACAGCCUUUGUGCCACAGCAGCGACUGAAGGGCAUGAGGAGUGUGAUCCUUCCCAGCUAAUCCAGUAAAGAAACAGCAGAACUUCCAUUUCACAGACUCCAUUAAUAACUGUAAAGCUUCUCUCUGUGUUGCUCCUUUAGCUUCUAUCCCCCAAGGAACACUGCCCCUGACACUGCAGCUGUCACGUACAGCUGGGCCCUUAGAGAACACAGAGAUGACACAAGUGUCUGAGUAAAAAUGAAUGGUGUAUUUAUUGCCUUAAAGUUCUUAACAACAAUUCAUUGGCAAAAAUUA